CACGUUUGUCUUACAUAACCAGGGCUUCGUUCACAACGGCCGAGAACAACAAAUGGAAUAUGUCAUGCCUUUGCUUCAAAUCUGGACACAAAUCUUUGCACCACCCCGCCUUUUGAAGAAAAACAAACCCUAGAACCAUAACGUCAAGUGGGACUAUGCUUUACGAAUUCUGAUCGACAACAAUUUGCGAUUCAAAGAAUAACUCUAAACCCACAACCAGUUGAGAACCCUCUUCCGAAAAAGAAAAUUGAAAAAAGAUGUAAGGCGGAGUCGGUUAUUGGCGAAGAUGGUGUGUUGGAUGAUGGAAAAGAGUGGUCAAAUUUAGGGAGACUUAUACGUGUAAAUGACGUGAAGUGUGUGGAACCCUAAAUCAUCGGUUCGUGACUCCCUUAUCCAGCCGCUAAUCCUCUCUUUUCUCCAUGAUCCAUCUUUUUGUGAGAUCAAUCCUCACAAUCACCACUCAAUUCGUCCUCCUGAUGACCCAGAUUUCCCCCCUCUGUCGUGUUCUCUUAAGCCCUGCCCUAAAAAUCCCUCCGUCAUUUAAUCGCCGGGUGUGAAUGAAAAGCAGGUUCCUUGUACGGCGCCUUCUGCUCCUAAAUUGGUAGUCGAUCUUGACUUGCAAGACUUCGUAGACUCUUCUCCCUCAUCAGAGACUCCCAAAGUUGGCUUUCCUCCCACAGAGAGUCCUAACGAGGUACGUACCUCCUUCGUUUCAUCCUUAGGCAGUUGGGUUCAACGUGUGGCAAAUUCUAACCAAACAGCCGAGGGUCUUUUUGUUGCAUCUACUGGAAAUGGGGUGUCAAUUGCAACAAAAUCUGGCCUGGGUUGUGAUAAUACCAAUUCCCCUGUUACGGAUUCUCUGAUUCGAAACUCCUCUAUGUCAAAUUCGUUGGGGUCUAGGCAUGGGGGUAAAAGCCCUAGGCAAAUGGGGAAAGGAAACCCAGCACAUGAUUUCGACAUGGUUACGGGUGAGGCUGCCCCCCCCCCAAUUCUUGUGCCUGCGCACAGGAGGAAAACUUGAACGAGCAACCUCAUAUAGCUAAAUCUGUGCGGGAGAAACAUCGUCCUGGAAGUAGAACCUUUGCCGAUCAAAUUAGGAUGAACAAUGAGUUGGAAGACACGAGGCUUGAAUUCAUCCCGCCUGUGGUUUCUCCUGAGGGUAAGAAGCAGGUUUUAAUCACUCAAGACGAUCUCAGGUAUUUGGCUAAAUCAUUUGCUUUACGCCUCAAUGUAUACUUUCUAGGCACAUCCAUGGACUUUAAGGUUGUGAAUUCGUGUUUUAGACGUUUAUGGAGAUUAUUUGAGUUGGACAGAAUGUCGAAAAGUUCUGCAGGGUUCUUCUUUUUCAAGUUUAAAAGUGAAAGUGGUAUGAACCAGGCCCUUGAAAAUGGCCCUUGGAUGGUAAAUAAUGUUCCGGUAUUUUUUAGUAGAUGGGAACCCGAGGUUUGUUUAGAAAAAAUAGAACCUUCGGUUAUUCCUUUGUGGGUAACGGUUCAACAUGUCCCGUUGGAAUUGUGGAUAGGUAUAGGGCUUAGCAAAAUUCUAAGUGGGGUAGGGUAUCCUCUAUAAUGGAUCGGGUCACCAAGGAACGCUGUGAAAACAAGACUGGCAAAAUUGGGUAUGCUCGUGUCCUGGUUGAUGUCCCUGCCACUAGUAACUUGCCUAAUGAGGUAGAACUUGUGUUUCCCCAAAUCAACCAAAGACCCCCUCGUAAUGUGAAGCUUCAUAUUUCCUAUCAAUGGAAGCCUUCCAUCGGCAGCCAUUGUAUUGCAUAUGGUCAUAUGUUAAAACAGUGUAUGAAGUAUAAUGUUCAAUUUGUUUCUGGUGAUAAUAGCACUAAUAUGUCGGCUGCCCAAAAAGAUAUAGAUCAGUGUAUGGAGGAGCCGGGUGAUGGUUUUGAAAUGGUAGCAAAAAAGGUGAACAACCCAAAUCCCAAAAUGAAAAGUACCCAGAAAUCUUAAGCUCAGGUUAAAAACAUGAAUACAACAGGUGUGGGUGGGACAAAGGAGAAGCAGAGUAAUCGCCAAAAGAAAGAUCCGAAUCCUAAAAUAGAUAAUCAGAGCAAGAAAGUGGCUGCCAAGACAAAUAAAUCAGGGAAUGUGGUUGUGAAUAAGGGUCCGGUUACAAGAUCAACAGCAAACAAAUCAAAAAAACGUCCAAUGGUUUUAACUUUAGCAAAGCUGUGAAUGGUUUGGCUCAGAAACCCAAGAGUGAUUCGACUACAACGCAGAGAAACAAAGGCACAUUGGAUACAGACACUCCCCCGGUUUCUUCUAUUAACCGGUUUUCUGUUCUUGACAUGGAUGUUAGCUUUAGGUGUUCAAAUCUUGUUGAAGAUACUAGUGAUUUGUACCCUCCAGAUUUGUUCAAUCAAGAAACCAUGAGUCGUGUGGAUAUGCCGUCUACUUCUGUUCACACUCCUAGUCCAGCCAAUCGUAUUCUUCCUAAGUGAAACACCUCAAAGUCUACUGGGGUUGAGAGUCGAGUAGGUUUGGAUAUUGACAUAGAGGAAUUUGAUGAAGAUGAUGAUGAUAGCGGGUAUGAUUAUGGCAUUACCCAAGCUCAAAAAGAUGCCAUCACUAAGCGUCUCGAAUCGAAGUCUCAAACGGUGUUGGCCGAAGAUACUCGGAAUUGGGAACCGGGAGAAUGGGAUUUUUUCCAUGAUCAAUGCCUCGAACUUGGAUUAAAUUCUGAUUUUUUGCAUUGAGGAUGUUGGUGAGGAUACAAGUGGGUCUGCUCGUUUUUUCACAGGCCUCAUGAGGGACCCAGUUGUGGCCAAACACUCCCAUCGUUGAGCGUCCGGGGGUUAAAUUUCCGGGGUCCUGCUUCUGUGUUUGCUGUUCGUGACCUACUCUUAUGGGUUUGGAGCCUGCGAUUUGAUCCUCGGUCCUCGGCUCUGGUUUUUGGCUCCUCCGGGUUUGUGGGGUUGGCUCCCGGGUUGGGUAUUGGCCUUUCCAGGUUUAUCUUUGGGCGUGUUUCUGGACCAACUGUUAGUGUUAGCCCAAAGCCCAAAUCCCUUGUUAUUGGUUUAUUAUCCAAGCCUAUAUGCUUUACCAUGAUAUUGCGUUGGGCUCAGGCUCCUUAGGCCUUUGUACAGCCUGUUCCAACUGAAGGCCCAGAUAUGUGCCGGGUUUUUUUUUAUUUUGAAGGCCCACUUCUGUUGGGUUUUAAUUAUUUCUUUCUGGAUAGUUUAACUUUAUAUUUAUUGUAGUAGGUGUUGUUGAUUUGUGUUUUCUAGUGGUAGUUAGUUGUAUGUAUCCUACUAAGUUAUCUAUUUGAUAGCCUUGUUGGGUGUUAUAAAACUUUCUCGUUUUGUGAGGUU